GAUGAACGCUGGCGGCGUGCUUAACACAUGCAAGUCGAACGGUGAACGAGGGAGCUUGCUCCCUCCGGAUCAGUGGCGAACGGGUGAGUAACACGUGAGCAAUCUGCCCUGGACUCUGGGAUAAGCGUUGGAAACGACGUCUAAUACCGGAUACGAGGCGUGGGGGCAUCCCCAACGCCUGGAAAGAACUUCGGUCCAGGAUGAGCGCGCGGCCUAUCAGCUAGUUGGUGAGGUAACGGCUCACCAAGGCGACGACGGGUAGCCGGCCUGAGAGGGUGACCGGCCACACUGGGACUGAGACACGGCCCAGACUCCUACGGGAGGCAGCAGUGGGGAAUAUUGCACAAUGGGCGCAAGCCUGAUGCAGCAACGCCGCGUGAGGGACGACGGCCUUCGGGUUGUAAACCUCUUUUAGCAGGGAAGAAGCGAAAGUGACGGUACCUGCAGAAAGAGCACCGGCUAACUACGUGCCAGCCGCCGCCGUAACAC
rnacentral:rRNA from 1 species